UACGUAGGGGGCAAGCGUUGUCCGGAAUUAUUGGGCGUAAAGAGCGUGUAGGCGGUCCGGUAAGUCAGCUGUGAAAGUCAAGGGCUCAACCCUUGAAAGCCGGUUGAUACUGUAGGGCUUGAGUGUAGUCGAGGUAGGCGGAAUUGACGGUGUAGCGGUGAAAUGCUUAGAUAUCGUCAAGAACACCGAUAGUGUAGACAGCUUACUAGGCUACAACUGACGCUGAGGCACGAAAGUGUGGGGAUCAAACAGG
rnacentral:rRNA from 1 species